rnacentral:lncRNA from 1 species
CCCAAGGUAGUGGCAAGAGCCAGCAUGGGGGCAGCUCUGGAGACCAGUACUGGUGACUGUUGCCAUGGUCUCUGCCUUCCAGUUCCUUCAGGUAGCCUCCACUCCAGCAGCUCUCACUUGAAGACCACACCAAAAGUUUGUUUUCAUCAAGAGAGAACAUGAGAACACUUUCCUCAACAACAAAUUUAAGUUUUCUGGAUAUCGGAGGGAAUGUGCCCCUUUGUAUAAAUGUUGGAGAGCUUCUUUCACUGAAGACAAGGUUCAAACAUAUGUAGCUAUUGAGUUACACAGGUGUCCUCAAUGGAAGACUUUGACAAAGCAUCUUGGAG